rnacentral:misc_RNA from 1 species
GAUGAAGAACGUAGUGAAAUGCGAUAAGUAAUGUGAAUUGCAGAAUUCAGUGAAUCAUCGAAUCUUUGAACGCACAUUGCGCCCGUCAGUAUUCUGGCGGGCAUGCCUGUUCGAGCGUCAUUACGCCCCUCAAGUCCCCUGUGGACUUGGUGUUGGGGAUCGGCGAGGCUGGUUUUCCAGCACAGCCGUCCCUUAAAUUAAUUGGCGGUCUCGCCGUGGCCCUCCUCUGCGCAGUAGUAAAACACUAGCAACAGGAGCCCGGCGCGGUCCACUGCCGUAAAACCCCCCAACUUUUUAUAGUUGACCUCGAAUCAGGUAGGACUACCCGCUGAACUUAAGCAUAUCAAUAAGCGGAGGA